UAGUCCACGCUGUAAACGAUGAGUACUAGCUGUUGGAGUCGGUGAAAAGGCUUUAGUGGCGCAGCUAACGCGUUAAGUACUCCGCCUGGGGACUACGGCCGCAAGGCUAAAACUCAAAGGAAUUGACGGGGACCCGCACAAGCGGUGGAGCAUGUGGUUUAAUUCGAUGCAACGCGAAGAACCUUACCUACCCUUGACAUCCUAAGAAGAACCGAGAGAUUGGUUUGUGCCUUCGGGAACUUAGAGACAGGUGCUGCAUGGCUGUCGUCAGCUCGUGUUGUGAAAUGUUGGGUUAAGUCCCGCAACGAGCGCAACCCUUAUUUUUAGUUGCCAUCAUUAAGUUGGGCACUCUAGAGAGACUGCCGCUGAUAAGGGCGGAGGAAGGUGGAGACGACGUCAAGUCAUCAUGGCCCUUACGGGGUAGGGGCUACACACGUGCUACAAUGGGGCACUACAGAGGGCUGCGAAGGGAGCGAUCUGGGAGCGAAACUCACAAAGGGUGUUCUAAGUCCGGGAUU
rnacentral:rRNA from 1 species